rnacentral:lncRNA from 1 species
GGAAAGCUGGCUGGAUCACAGGAUAAUCGCACCCUGCAGGAGUGAGCUGUGUUUCUAUUGCAAAGGUCCCUGGGGCGGGUGCUGCCCUUCCAUCCUGGCCUCACCCACCUCUGCUCCUGGCAGGAGAAGACUGGGAGGUGGCUCUUUGGAUCAGUGGCGGUGCCUUCUGUGGGUGGGACCCUGCGGGCAGCUGAGCAUCCUGUCCCAACCCCUUGUCCACGUGCCAGCCCCGCUGCCUGCAUGAUGCGUGUGCUUUGUCUCCUGAAUAUCCAGGCGCCUGGUGAGGUCAGGCAGUUGCUGGACCCUAUAGAGAACAUCCGAGAAAGCUUCUGCAGCCCGGUCACCAUGCAGCUGUGGCUUUCCAGGCUGUGGACGUCCCAGGGACACGCCAGGCUCAAGCCAAAACAGCCCAUCCCGUUCAAAGCCCAGCGGCCCAGCCCAGCCUCCCUCCACAUCCCUUCAGCGCCUUUUAAAAAAGUGAAGAAAAGCCGAUUUAAACACAGAACAGGGUCAGGAACCAUUUUCCCCUUUUGUGCUCCAUCUUUACUUUAAAUUGAAAGCUGGUUGAUUUACAAUAUUGUCAAUUUCUUCUGUAGAGUGAAGCGAUUCCGUUAUACUAUAUAUAUAUGCCUUCUCUUUUAGAUUCUUUUCCAUUAUGGUUUAUGAUAGGAUACUGAAUGUGAUUACCUGUGCUCUACAGUAAUGCCUUGUUGUUUAUCCAUGUUACAUACAAUAAUUUGCAUCUGCCAAUCCCAAACUCCCAAUCCUUCCCUCCCCCACCCCACUUCUUGGCAACGGCAGAUCUGUUCUCUGUGUGCCUGUCUGUUUCUAUUUUGCAGAUAAAUUCAUUUGUGUUGUACACCAGGUUCCAUAUAUAAAUGACAGCAUAUGGUAUUGUCUUUGUGUGAUUUUCUCUGCCUCGUAUAAUACUCUCUAGCUUCACCCAUGUUGCUGCAAAUGGCAUUAAUUCAUUCUUUUUUAUGGCUGAGUAAUAUUCCAUUGUGUAUAUGUGCCACAUCUUCU